UACGUAGGUGGCAAGCGUUGUCCGGAUUUAUUGGGUUUAAAGGGCGCGUAGGCGGUGCGGUAAGUCACCUGUGAAAUCUCUGGGCUCAACUCAGAGUCUGCAGGCGAAACUGCCGUGCUGGAGUAUGGGAGAGGUGCGUGGAAUUCCCGGUGUAGCGGUGAAAUGCGCAGAUAUCGGGAGGAACACCAGUAGCGAAGGCGGCACUCUGGGCCGGUACUGACGCUGAGGAGCGAAAGCGUGGGGAGCAAACAGG
rnacentral:rRNA from 1 species